CAAAUAAUAAGCGGUCAUAGCUUGUAACACACACAAAAGAAUGGGAACUGUUUCUGUGAGAAAAGAUUGAUAGGGUUGAAAAACAGCCUGUCUAUCAGAAUUGGCGGAACAAUACCAAUUAUACCCAAUGAUGAGUUUAACUCUGUACACAAGAACCACAGGGAAGGGACAUUCCUAUGGAUUAUACCCAAUGAGAUCCACAUAAAACUUGGAAAUACAACUCCAAUCCGAAAGAAUUUAGAUGCAACUGGAAAAACAGCACUGUUAAAAUGUUGAUGAAAUCUUAAGUUUCUUUUGUAC